GCCCUAGUAACGGCGAGUGAAGCGGCAACAGCUCAAAUUUGAAAGCUAGCCUUCGGGUUCGCAUUGUAAUUUGUAGAGGAUGAUUUGGGGAAGCCGCCUGUCUAAGUUCCUUGGAACAGGACGUCAUAGAGGGUGAGAAUCCCGUAUGUGACAGGAAAUGGCACCCUAUGUAAAUCUCCUUCGACGAGUCGAGUUGUUUGGGAAUGCAGCUCUAAAUGGGAGGUAAAUUUCUUCUAAAGCUAAAUAUUGGCGAGAGACCGAUAGCGCACAAGUAGAGUGAUCGAAAGAUGAAAAGCACUUUGGAAAGAGAGUUAAAAAGCACGUGAAAUUGUUGAAAGGGAAGCGCUUGCAAUCAGACUUGUUUAAACUGUUCGGCCGGUCUUCUGACCGGUUUACUCAGUUUGGACAGGCCAGCAUCAGUUUCGGCGGCCGGAUAAAGGCUCUGGGAAUGUGGCCUCCACUUCGGUGGAGGUGUUAUAGCCCAGGGUGUAAUACGGCCAGCCGGGACUGAGGUCCGCGCUUCGGCUAGGAUGCUGGCGU
rnacentral:rRNA from 1 species